UGGGGAAUAUUGCACAAUGGGCGCAAGCCUGAUGCAGCCAUGCCGCGUGUAUGAAGAAGGCCUUCGGGUUGUAAAGUACUUUCAGCGAGGAGGAAGGCGUUGUGGUUAAUAACCGCAACGAUUGACGUUACUCGCAGAAGAAGCACCGGCUAACUCCGUGCCAGCAGCCGCGGUAAUACGGAGGGUGCAAGCGUUAAUCGGAAUUACUGGGCGUAAAGCGCACGCAGGCGGUCUGUCAAGUCGGAUGUGAAAUCCCCGGGCUCAACCUGGGAACUGCAUCCGAAACUGGCAGGUUAGAGUCUUGUAGAGGGGGGUAGAAUUACAGGUGUAGCGGUGAAAUGCGUAGAGAUCUGGAGGAAUACCGGUGGCGAAGGCGGCCCCCUGGACAAAGACUGACGCUCAGGUGCGAAAGCGUGGGGAGCAAACA
rnacentral:rRNA from 1 species